UCCUAUAAUCAGUAUCAUGGCCUUUGUAUACAACAAAAUUGAUUGGAACUCCUAGACUAGAAAUAUAAUUCAAGAUUUAAAUAAGGCACUGGUCAUAGUUUUAGAAAGUGUGGCUAGCAUUCUGAAGGAAGACAGAGAGAUGGAAAGACAUCAAAGAAUGGGCAGGUCUGCCAAGAAAUGGUUUAUCCAGGGCUAAGUACAGAGAGGAAUAUAGAAGGGCUGUUGACAGAUCUUGUGUGGUGCCCCCAUGGUUCAACAGACUAAUUGAUUGAAAAUAAUACCAGGUUUAUGCUCCUUUGACCAUUGAGUUCCAGGAUGAAGAAUGAAAGACAGAGAGCAAUGUGAAGACAUGAAAGAAUGGGCAGGUCUGCCAUGAAAUGGUUUAUCCAGGGCUAAGUACAGAGAGGAAUAUAGAAGGGCUGUUGACAGAUCUUGUGUGGUGCCCCCAUGGUUCAACAGACUGAUUGAUAGGUAAUGGUAAGAAUUUAAUGUAUUUUGUAAAAAAAAAUGGUGUUAAUUACAUUAAGGGACUUAAUCACUCUUUUUUUAAUUUUUACAUUCAUUUAAUGUUAUUAUUUUAUACAGUAAUAUAUGAUUUUUAUCUUGGUAAAUCAUUUAAAUAUAUAUCCUGCUAAUCAAACCAAAGAAUCUUCUCAAUACUUAUUUAAAAAUUUUAAUUUUGUCUACAUGUAACAAAUGUUUAACGAAAAGAAAUGUACACUGUCCAGCAUUGAUUAUUUAAAACUG